AAGUGAUGGAUAUUUACCUCCACUUCGGUGAAUAAUUGUUAAAUAUCAAAUUUUUGAACAGGGAAAAGUGUUGAUUUUUCUGUGUAAUCUGAUUCAACUUUAGGGUUCCACAGUUGGACCUGGGAAACCUUGCAGAUGACAACAAUCAGUUGCUCCAGCCAGCCACAGUUGAUGGCCCUCAUUUACACACACCAGACUCUAACAGCAGCCUUAUAAGCUGGGGAACUCCUCUUCAUAGCUCACGAUUUCCUCCUAGUCCUGCAAAACCAAAAGGAGGUGGCUGGCAGGUUCAACAAUCUUGCGCCACUCAGUUUCAUAAAAAGCCAAAUGACACGCCAGCUCUUGAUCUGAGAAAGUCACAUGGGGAUGAUGGCCUGAAUCAGGCUUUUCAGGCAGGGAAAGACGAUGAUAGGGACAAAAAUCAUGGUGUUCAGUUUGAAGAGAAGCCAGUCAAGGUUAAUGAUAAUAAUAAAAAGUCUAGUUAUUUGCUAGCUUAGUUUAUAAUUAAAUUUAUUAGUUGACUUAUUGCUUUUUCUAAAAGAUGUGUUGCCCAGUUAUUCAGAUAAAUAGACAAGCUUUAAAUUCUAUUUUUUUCAAAACUGCCUCUUCCAAGUUUACAAGACCACAAAUUGUUUUACAAUGUGCUGGACUAUUGUGACACAUUUGGAAAGAUCUGCCUUUACUUGUUAAUGUCAUAGUCUUCCAUUGAUAUGAUUUCUGCCAUCACAAUAGGUGUCUAAGCCCUGUUAUCAAGGAUCCAGUUAAAUUGUCAUGUGCAAAGGGUAAAAAACCCUGCCUUUUCACUGAAUAAGUUUCUAUCCAGUGGAUAAGUUAUUUUUCGGAUCAUUAGUGCAUAUUGUAGUCGACGUCCAACACGCUACUUGGCCUUUAACCGUUAAGACGAAAUGUACAAUUUAAUGAGUGCGAACAGAAGCGAUGAAAAGGGAGCGGUUGCUACAAACAAAAUAAAUUACAAGUUAUAGACGAAUACAAUGAAAGAAACAGAAAUAGUGAGCCGAAGGUAGACGAUACUUACAAACGUUGUAUGACUAGGAAGCUGAGGUACACGUAAAAAAAGGAAAACGGCACGCCGGUAAACGAGAUGAGAAGACAGUAGCGUCGCGAAGAAAAUGCACAAAUAAACUAGAAAGAUGCAUACAAAAGGGAACUGAAACAAAGCAAAAUUAUGCGAAAAAACCUAACAGAACAUCAAUAACAUGAAAGUGAGAUAAAUGAAAAGAAUGCAAUGAUCACGAAAGAAUGCACGCACAAAUGGACAAAAUAACAAUUAAAUGCGGCUGCAACAUCUGGCUCCUCUAAGAGUUUACUAAAACUCUUAAGUUCUCAGUUUUAACGUUAAAGUUCAUAACACAGUUCUCUACUCCUUAUGGCUCCUCUGGCUGGGAUUUACCCUGGUCUUCAUUUUUCAUUCUCCAGUAUCAGCAUGAGUUUGUCGAUUGGCAGAUCUAGGGUUGUUGUUGCCGUGGUAACUCUGACCGAUCUGACCUGUCCAUUUGAAUCCAGGUGUACGUCGACAACUCGGGCCAUGCUCCAGUCGUUUCUUGAGGCUCGAUCAUCUACGAUCAGUACCAGGUCUCCCUUUUCGAAGUUUCUUCGGGGGCGGUUCCAUUUUACUC